CAUGUUCUUGCUAUAUUACCUAGUAAUGUACCAAAAGUUAGCGGCCGCUACUUUACCGAGCGCCAUUUUGAUCGCAAAGUGAAACAUUAAAAGGAAUUGAUGAGGUUCAUGUCUGGUAAGACGCUGUUAUAGUGCCAUUUCUUGGCCUUGCCACUGUUCUGCUAUGGUUACAUUUCCGAGUGAAGACUGUAAUAGUUUUGCUGCCAAUUAACUUAGAUCACCAAUUGCAUAGCAAAGAUGGCCGAUGAUCUAACAGUGGAUCCUAAGUUGCUGAAAAGUCGGAAAAGGGUAAAGAUAUCUGAUAAGACAUCGAAGGAAAUGGCCGGUCCAUCAAAGGUUAAAAAGGAAAGAGGACUUAAGGCAUCAGUCCAUUCACAAAAAGAAAUGUCUGGCUCAUCCCAG